GACGAACGCUGGCGGCGUGCCUAAUACAUGCAAGUUGAGCGAUGAAGCUUGGUGCUUGCACCAAUUUGAAGAGCAGCGAACGGGUGAGUAACGCGUGGGGAAUCUGCCUUUGAGCGGGGGACAACAUUUGGAAACGAAUGCUAAUACCGCAUAACAACUUUAAACAUAAGUUUUAAGUUUGAAAGAUGCAAUUGCAUCACUCAAAGAUGAUCCCGCGUUGUAUUAGCUAGUUGGUGAGGUAAAGGCUCACCAAGGCGAUGAUACAUAGCCGACCUGAGAGGGUGAUCGGCCACAGUGGGACUGAGACACGGCCCAAACUCCUACGGGAGGCAGCAGUAGGGAAUCUUCGGCAAUGGACGAAAGUCUGACCGAGCAACGCCGCGUGAGUGAAGAAGGUUUUCGGAUCGUAAAACUCUGUUGGUAGAGAAGAACGUUGGUGAGAGUGGAAAGCUCAUCAAGUGACGGUAACUACCCAGAAAGGGACGGCUAACUACGUG
rnacentral:rRNA from 1 species